GUUCCCCAGUCAAGACGGAGAGAUGGCGGUGGUGCUGGAGGAGAGAAGGGGGAUAUUUGGCAGCCACCUCUCGAGGAAGGGGUGCCUGUGCUUUUUUGGGGGUGUUACUGUGGGGAGCAGAUGCCAUCGGCUGUUGUCACUGGUUGAGGCUUGAGGUCUGGCCUGACCUGUGCUUCUCUCUCUCCUGUGCAAGGUGGGAGUUGAGGUGGUGCUGAAGGGCUGGCCUCUCCAGGACUCCCGCUGCACUGCAGCAUUUCUUUAUUUGCAUGAUGCUUGCUGUCCAAGGCAGGCCUCCCUGAGCCUCUUUGAAGUGUCUGGCCCCUCUGCAGGGGUUGCCAGUCUGUGCUGACAUCUAGCAGCAGUGUUCCUCUUGGCCCAUGACAGACAUCCCACGAGGUGCCAAUCCUGGGGGCCACGCUGCCUUGUAGCCUGUGUGGCUAGUGGCACGAGGGCUCUGCAUUCUCAGUGGAUGGGCAGCUGUCUAACUCGGCCCUGCUGGGAGCUCGCUGCAUCUUGGUGUCUGGAGGAGUGCCUGGCAGAUGGAGCCUGUCGGGGCCAGCAGCUAAAGCUGGGCAGAGACGCGUGAGGAUGCAGGGUGGAGGAUGGCGUGUGGUCUGUAAAGAGCUGGACUCGACCCUCCCUCCUCGCUCUUACUGGGCAGCCUGCACAGAUGUGAUGCAAAGUGAUGGGAGCUCAGGGAGGACGGCAGUUAUGAAUGGGGAGAUGUAGAGAUCUGGCUGGAAUCUCCAGAUUUGCUCGAGGUGUCGCCAGAGCCAGCUAUGAAGGUGGAGGCAGUAGCCACUCUGGGCAGGAGAAGGACCCCAGGGAUGACAGUGGCCAGUUCAGCGUGGCAAAGCAGGGAAGGGGUCAAGUGAUGUAUCUGCAGGGAUGAAAACCCCUGACAGUGAGAUCUGUGGCCAAGCUUGUUGCUCCAAGGUGUGCUGAGGAAGUUGGAAGGAGGCUCAGACUCAAGUGCUGAGGAGGGGAGAGUUGAUACCGCAGCUCGGUCAAGGCGGGAGGCAAAGGAGGUGAGGCCAGACUUCUCCAGCAAAGGAUGAGACAUUUGCAGAAUGGAUGGUGUCUUUGCAAAAUUUCAUCUCAUUCUGGAAAGGCUCAAGAGAAGGUCAGCCAGUCAACUUGCUCCCUCUCCAGCCAGGAUAGCCCUCGUCAGCUGUGGAAAGCCAAGGCAAGCUGAUCCCUGCCCUCCUGCAAGAUGCCUUCUGUGCCUCUUGAAAAUGCUUUUUUGGUUGUCGUUGUAAAAAGAAAAACCACAAAAGGUUUGCAUAAUAAAGUUGAUUCUGAGGGAA